UGGGAUAUAGCUCAGUUGGUAGAGUGCUUGCUUAGCAUGCACAAGGCUCUGGGUUUAAUUCCCAGUACCACAA
rnacentral:tRNA from 1 species